GUGAGGGAAUGGGUGACUAGUGGCAGAGUGAGGGAGGGAAGGGGUGACUAGUGACAGAGUGAGGGGAUGACUGGUGACAGAGUGAGGGGGGGUGACUGUCACUAGUCACCCCAUCCCUCUCUCUGUCACUAGUUACUCCCUCCCUAACUCUGUCACUGUGUCACCCGCUCCCUCACUCUGUCACUAGUCACCCCCUUACUCUGUCACUGUGUUACCCCUCCCUCUGUCACUAGUCACCCCCUCCCUCAC